GAGAUUAAGCGUGUUGUGAAAUGUAGAUGCUCAACAUCUGCACUGCAGCGCGAACUGGUUUCCUUGAGUACGCACAAAGUGGGCGGAAUUCGUGGUGUAGCGGUGAAAUGCUUAGAUAUCACGAAGAACUCCGAUUGCGAAGGCAGCUCACUGGAGCGCAACUGACGCUGAAGCUCGAAAGUGCGGGUAUCGAACAGGAUUAGAUACCCUGGUAGUCCGCACGGUAAACGAUGGAUGCCCGCUGUUGGUCUGAAUAGGUCAGCGGCCAAGCGAAAGCAUUAAGCAUCCCACCUGGGGAGUACGCCGGCAACGGUGCAACUCAAAGGAAUUGACGG
rnacentral:rRNA from 1 species